UUCAGAGUUUGCACAAGUGGCUUGCGUCUCAACUACUGCUGAGCAGUAGAGAGAGCACAGGAGGAUUUUACAUAGAGAGAACAUUUCAACUGCAGAGAGACCCCGCAAGUCUGUGAAACACGAUUCCAGGUGUGCAGCCUGGGGAGCUUGUGCUAAGCAUGGAAAUGAAGUUGUGCCAAGACAGGAGAGAAAAUGACUAAUUUUAUGAUAUGAAAAUAAAUCGAGAUUAUAUUACUGGAAAAUGACUACAAGAAAGCUGGAAAGACGUCUUUGCAUCCAUCAUUCAGGAGGAAGAUUUCCAGUGUCUGAUGAGAUCAGAAGAAAUGAGAUAAUGGAUUGCAAGCUUUGAUGGAUAAAG